UUGGUUCGCCAACGUAGACUGUGUGCCAUGUACGACGAAUGAUCAAUGUAACAAUUCUACAUCGUGUUCUGGAGCAAACACUCCCAUCUGUGAACAUCCGGACCUCACCGACGUUAACGAGAAUGGUGGAUUGUGCACAUGCAGUGUUGGAUUGUGUUACUAUGUUGCUGAUUGUCAAGUACCGGAAGUAGAUCUUGAAUGCCCGUAUGACGACCGCCAUUGUUAUGACAACAAAUGUAUCUGCUCUCGAUUUCCAGUGUUUCCCGGAAGAAAAUAACAUGUUCUUCUAAUGUUUGUACAUUAACAUUCAAUACAAUUAUUCACUCGAAAUAAUUUUGAAAAGGAUACACAAUA